ensembl:lncRNA
CGUCGCUCCGCAGCCCGGGCCGCCCCGCACGGCACCGCCGACGGAACAGCACCGGGACGGAACCGCGGCACGACGGGAGCGGUGGGGCGUGUGGUGUUGUGGGGAAGCGGCGCAGAUGGAAAGCUGCCGUGUGGAGCCCCACAGGACGAGUUGCAGAGGCCCCUGAAGGAAAAGGAGAAGGAAAGGCAUUUGCAGAGGGAAAGGCUGUCCCGCUGGCCUUAGGUGUUGCUGAACGGGAGGGGUGGCCAAUGCUUUCUCUUUCCACUGCCUCACGGAUGGUGGCAAAUGCCUUCUGGGGGUGGUUCCAGCAGUGGGAAGAAAACAGCUGGCAGCGGAGGGGUAAACCUCUUUGGGCUGCUGAGCUGUGUGCUGAACCAUAAGGAAGGUGGCUGUAAAGGUGUGCCGUGCAGAUGUCGUGUGCCCAGCAGUCGGGCCGAUGAAGAGCAACAAAUGAAGCGCCAGGCAAACCGGUGAGUUCCUGAAGGCAAAGGCAAAGCAAGUCUUGUUCAGCGCUGCCCACCCCGCAGGUCAGAGCUCCAGUGCCAUGAGGUGAAGGAUUCUGGGGGUUGUGCCCUUCCUUACCCCUCCACCCCUUUCAUUCCUUUGCUUUGGCAAGGGCUGCCUUACACCGUCCAGACGGGAAAGGCUGGAGCCCUGGGCACAAGGCAAAGGCGUGCAAAGAGCGCACAGCCGGCUGAGGCCACACCACAGAGCCAGCUGCGUGGCAAGGAAGUGUUCUUAGCCCAGACACGGGAGCUCAUGCACAGGUCCUGCUGACACCAGCUGGAAGAGAAAGGCAUUCGAUGGGAGGAAGCACCAGGAGCACGGCAUCCAAAGGAGCUUCCCAGGGAACUGCUGGCAGAAUGUCCUGCUGCUUCCCAGCAGUUUGCAGAGAACCGCUGCCCAAAGUUGGGCUCUUAAGCCCUCUGCAUCCUGCAGAGCAUCUGCUGCUUCUUUGUUUGCUUUCCCAUCCCUCUCCAGGCUCCACAGUGCCACUGAUGGGUUGAAGGCCCCUUCUUCCCACGCGCCGCCGCCUUCAGCCCGAGCUCGGUGGUGGGCACUGGGAAGAUGCUUCCACACCGAAGCCCAUCCUGCUGCCAAGGCGACCCCCAGCCCGGCUCAAGGGCCCACCCUCUGUCUCAGCAGUGAUGAGCCCAUGGCCAAACUCCCCCGUCCCCGCGGAGGCAGAAGGGCAGAGCUUUGGCCUCUGCCGCACACCACGGCACUGACCUGCAGGACGUCAUUUUUCCAAGCUGCCAAUAUCCAGAGGAAGGCUCCAGCUGUGGGGGACAGCAG